UAUCGGCCAAUCGUUUGCAACCUCAUCUUAAAAUCCCUUUUUACCAGACUCCAUCACGUAGUCCUUCACUCUUAUCUACCAGAAUCAUAGUCACUUCCAUUGUGCUGCUUCCACCACCAAUCCCUCUUCGAAACCCCUUUCUUUCUAUCGUGACCAGCCAAAUUUUUGCCGCUAUCGACGCUGAUUUUAUCGAAGCACCCCUCACAUGCGCUCGCUUAAUCGAUCCCAACUUCCGGUGACACCGCCGCAUACUCCGGCGACGCCUCUGAAUCCAAUAUUCCAACCACGCAACUCUCCGGGGACCGAUCGACAGCCCUCCCACCGUCUUCAUCGAACCCAGUGGUCACGCUCUCUCUCUCCUCCAAAAUCAACCCGUUAUCCUCUCCAGCCUCAACCAUUCCGCCUUCCCCUUUAUCUACAAGAUUCUCCGUCUUCAACCUUCCUAAACCGAAAUCCCCGAUCUUGGCCUUGAAAUUAGCAUCCAGCAGAAUAUUACUGGGCUAAUAUCGUUGUGGAUUACCGGCGGGUGACAAGAAUGGUGGACGUAAGACAGACCAGUGGCAAUAUCAAGAACAAUGUGGAAUAUUUUCUUCCAACCCAUGAGCUCCGAGUACUUGUUGUCGAGCAGCGGGUCCUGUAAGCUACGAUUGGGCAUGUACUCGUAGACGAGGAUGAGUACAUGCUGAGGAGAGAGAAGAUGUGAGGAGAGUGGAGAGCGGAGGCGAUGGGCGAUGGGCGAUGGGGAUAGCUCAUUGUGGAACUCGCGCUCGCCUUGGAGGGAGCCAGGGGAGUCAAUGAGCUUUAGUGCCAAACACUGGCCCGAAGGUAUAGUGAACCAAAACCACCUUAUGGGAUGUUCUUCUUCGGCAUCUCAAGUUCGACAAAACCGAUAAUUUUGCCCGACCCGAAUGGUUUGGGUUGAGUCGGAUUAUUUUUCCAAGCUAGCUUUUGCGGGCGAAGUCAGGCAUACAGAGGGGAUUCCGCCCGAAUGGUAUCCACACUAGAUUCAAACGCACCGUUUUGGAGUAAAUAGGCGGUGCAUUUGAUUGAAGUUAGAGAUGCCUCAUGUACACAUAAAACGGUGCGUUUCAUUUCACUGUAAACCCAUCUCCCCUAUUUCUCUACCCAUGCUCUCCCUCCCCUUCCCUCUCUAGCGAUCCCCAACCCUAACCCUAACCCUAAAUGGUGGCCAAAUGCACGCGGGAUUGGCUUAUUUUCCCACCGAUCAAGCUUGCAUAUAAAGACAAGAAAACCUUUGUCUCUCUUUCUCUUUGAAGAUUUCCUCUAUGGUGCGUUUCCCCUUCCAAGUCUGCCUCUCUUUCGUUUCCAUGCUCUCCCUCCCCUUUCAUUUCUGUACUGUUAUGAUUGAUGCAUCUCUUAUUACUUUCAUUUACUCAAUUUUGUCUUUCACCUUGUAGGGAUUUAUCAAUUCAUUUAUGAGUAGAGACUAGAGUGUUGUUUGGGGUGGCGAGGGAAUGAGUUCGAUGGCUGUGUUUUUAAUCUGUUACGACGUCGUUUCUAUUUUUUUUUUCCUUUUUUUUUUUUUGUAGAUUCUUGUAUAAAUAGACAGGACUCUCAUUACUUAAUUUUUGUUCAGAAUUGUUAAAACGUGAUUUGUGUUCGAGGUUGAACGUUCCUGGAGAACCUUUUCGUUUUCCAUCGUGUUUGUGAUUCUUGUUUCAUGAGUUGAGUUUUUUGGGUGUUCUUGGCAUUCUAAUCUGUUUUCUUGAAGAAAUACCAUUACAGAGCAUGAAAAGAAAAGGAGGAGAAGAAAAGAUUUUCUGUACAGUGUGUUUCCCCUUCCAAGGUCUUUUCUUAAGAAAGGAUAAUCUUAUUUUGACCUCAUCUCUUCAACAGACCGAGGUUGUUUCAGCAAAAUUUGUCAUGAAGACAGAUGAUGAUGCGUUCGUACGUGUGGAUGAAGUGUUGGCUUCUCUAGAUAGGGAUCAAUGUGACUCAAGGGUUGCUUUAUGGGCUCAUAAACUUGGCUUCCCAGCCGCAUCGCAAUCCUGAAAGCAAGUGGCAUAUCAGUCCUGAGGAAUGGCCUGAAGAGAGGUAUCCUGCUUGUUGGGUGCACGGUCCUGGUUAUGUGGUGUCACAUGACAUUGCAAAAGAAAUCUAUUGGAGAUACCAAAAAGAAAAUUUAAAGAUGUUUAAGCUAGAGGAUGUGGCAAUGGGCAUCUGGAUUGCAGAGAUGAAGGACAUUUUGAAAGUUCGGUAUGAGAAUGACGAGAGGAUCCAUAAUGAGGGGUGUAAGGAUGGUUAUGUUGUGGCGCAUUACCAAGGUCCCAGGGAGAUGCUCUGUUUGGGGCAAAAAAUUCAGGAAGGAAAUGGUGUUAGGUGCUGUGGUGAUCCAUGAGCAUCAUUAGUUGAUGCAAGAGGAUCUUUAUUAAGUCUAGAGGGGCGUUACCAUGGCUGUAAACUAGAAAUACUUAAGUCUAGAGUUUGUAGAGAUGCGCAUUUCGAAUGAACCAGAGGAUCUUUAUUGUGUGUAGAGAGAGAGCGCCUUGUACAGAUUCCACUCAGUUUUAGGAUCAUAAGUACUACUUCUCUGUAAUGUUGAUCCCAAUAUAAUAAACUUAACUAUUUAAUA